CAGGACUCGCAAGACUCCCGUAAACCACUGUGAACUUACCUACAACCCGUUGCCUCGGCGGGUGCUCCGGGCGUCUUCGGGCGCUCCGGGGCGCUCCAGCCCGCCGGCGGCCCCCCAAACUCUGUUUCUGUAACGUUGGCAUCUCCGAGCAGACUAUAAACGAGUCA
rnacentral:misc_RNA from 1 species